UAGGGAAUCUUCCGCAAUGGACGCAAGUCUGACGGAGCAACGCCGCGUGAGUGAAGAAGGAUUUCGGUUCGUAAAACUCUGUUGUUAGAGAAGAACAGCGCAUAGAGUAACUGUUAUGCGUGUGACGGUAUCUAACCAGAAAGCCACGGCUAACUACGUGCCAGCAGCCGCGGUAAUACGUAGGUGGCAAGCGUUGUCCGGAUUUAUUGGGCGUAAAGCGAGCGCAGGCGGUCAAUUAAGUCUGAUGUGAAAGCCCCCGGCUCAACCGGGGAGGGUCAUUGGAAACUGGUUGACUUGAGUGCAGAAGAGGAGAGUGGAAUUCCAUGUGUAGCGGUGAAAUGCGUAGAUAUAUGGAGGAACACCAGUGGCGAAGGCGACUCUCUGGUCUGUAACUGACGCUGUGGUUCGAAAGCGUGGGUAGCAAACAGG
rnacentral:rRNA from 1 species